UCAAGCUAAAAAGGGCGCAGGGCGAAUGCCUUGGCACUGGGAGCCGAUGAAAGACGUGGUAAGCUGCGAUAAGCUUCGGGGAGGAGCAAACAUCCUUUGAUCCGGAGAUUUCUGAAUGAGGAAACUCACUUAGGUUCAUAUCUAAGUACGUUGUACUGAAUCCAUAGGUACAUCGGGGGAACCGCCUGAACUGAAACAUCUAAGUAGGGCGAGGAAGAGACAUCAACAGAGAUUCCGUAAGUAGUGGCGAGCGAACGCGGAAGAGGCCAAACCGAGUGUAGAAAUACAUUCGGGGUACGGACUGCUUUAAGGACCCGAGUCGUUAACCGAAGUGUGUGGGAAAGCACACCAAAGAGCGUGAGAGUCGCGUAGGUGAAAACGACGGAGGCUGCGCAGGAUCCAGAGUACGGCCAGACACGUGAAACCUGGUCGGAAUACGGGGGGACCACCCUCCAAGCCUAAAUACUACCCAGUGACCGAUAGCGUAUAGUACUGUGAAGGAAAGGUGAAAAGCACCCCGGGAGGGGAGUGAAAAAGAACCUGAAACCCUGUGCCUACAAGCACAUAGAGCACGUCAAGGUGUGAUAUGGUACUUUUUGUAGAACGGUCCGGCGAGCGAAUGUAUGCAGCGAGGUUAAGGUGCUGGAGCACUGGAGCCGCAGCGAGAGCGAGUCUGAAUAGGGCGUUUGAGUUGCAUACAUUGGGCCCGAAACCGGGUGACCUACCCAUGAUCAGGUUGAAGUGGAGGUAAAACUCCAUGGAGGACCGAACCGACCUCCGUUGAAAAGGCGGCGGAUGAAUUGUGGGUAGCGGAGAAAUUCCAAUCGAACCCGGAGAUAGCUGGUUCUCCCCGAAAUAGUUUUAGGACUAGCCUCAUGUUAGAUAUCCGGAGGUAAAGCACUGAAUGGCCUAGGGCCCGAGAGGGUACCGAAGCCUAUCAAACUAAGAAUGCCGGAAUAUUGAUGCAUGGGAGUCAGACUGUGUGAGAUAAGUCUCAUAGUCAAAAGGGAAACAGCCCAGAUCUACAGCUAAGGUCCCAAAGCAGGUUUAAGUGGAAAAGGAUGUGAAGUUGCUAAGACAACCAGGAUGUUGGCUUAGAAGCAGCCACUCAUUCAAAGAGUGCGUAAUAGCUCACUGGUCGAGUGACUUUGCGCCGAAAAUUCAACGGGGCUAAAACCUGCACCGAAGCUUAGGCAGCGCUUUGCGCUGGGUAGGGGAGCGUUGUAUACGAGGUGAAGCAUUAGCGCAAGCGGGUGUGGAUUGUAUACAAGUGAGAAUGCCGGAAUGAGUAGCGAGAAUGAUGUGAGAAUCAUCAUGGCCGAAAGCCUAAGGUUUUUGGAGGAAGGUUCGUCCGCUCCAAGUUAGCCGGGAGCUAAGGUAAGGCCGAAAGGCGUAGCCGAUGCACAUACGGUAGAGAUUCCGUAGCCACCGAAAGAGUUAAGCAUGGGGACACUUUUGAAGUGUUGGAGCCGGGAGUUGGUUCCGGUAGUGAUCGAGUGAAAUAUAGUAGCGAAGUCCAGCAUGGAAAGAGGCGAGAAAAGCCAUGUGUAUUUCUAAGGUGCCCGUACCGCAAACCGACACAGGUAGGUAGGAAGAAGAUUCUAAGGCCAACGGGAGAAGGGUUGUUAAGGAACUCGGCAAGUUGACCCCGUAACUUCGGAAUAAGGGGUGCUCAGAGAUGAGCCGCAGAGAAUCGGCCCAAGCAACUGUUUAGCAAAAACACAGGUCUGUGCUAAAUCGAAAGAUGACGUAUACGGGCUGACGCCUGCCCGGUGCUGGAAGGUUAAGAGGAGAUGUGCAAGCAUUGAAUCGAAGCCCCAGUAAACGGCGGCCGUAACUAUAACGGUCCUAAGGUAGCGAAAUUCCUUGUCAGGUAAGUUCUGACCCGCACGAAAGGCGUAAUGAUUUGGGCACUGUCUCAACAGCCCGCCCGGCGAAAUUGUAGUACCGGUGAAGAUGCCGGUUACCCGCGACAAGACGGAAAGACCCCAUGGAGCUUUACUGUAGCCUAAUAUUGG
rnacentral:rRNA from 1 species